rnacentral:tRNA from 1 species
GGGGUUGUGGCUCAGAGGUAGAGCACUUGCCUAACAUGCAUGAGGCACUGGGUUCAAUCCUCAGCAUCACAU